CUGGUGCUGAGGGCGAUAGUGAUCGUGUGAAAGAUGACGAUGAUGACCUUACGCGUUGCCGAUGUUCUUAAGGAAUUAUGAUGAUGUUCAGAGGAAUAUGGUAGUGAGAUAAAGGAGGCAAUGGUUGCAGAGAAAAAAUUCUGAUAACGAUGGGGAUUACGACUACGGUAAAUAUCAAGACUGAUAGAAACGCUUGAGUUGCAGAGUAAAUGAAGUCAGUGUUUAGCGAUGGCAUUUUAUCAGCUAAGCACUGACAAAUAUUUCGAAAUCUACAUAGUUACCACCAUAUUAACACUGAUGCAUCGUUUCCUGUAGCUGGUCAUUGAAGCGCUAUAAAUGUUUUCUCAGUAAGGUGAACCGCAACGGCAUUCACUGUGAAAAUUCAAUAUGUAUGAAAAGUUAUUCAUGCAGCAGCUGAUCUAGCAAGGUUUAUA